rnacentral:lncRNA from 1 species
GCCACUUACAUAGCCAUAAAUUGAUUUUUGAUUAAUGUUUAAGCAAAAAGCAAACAAGCCCAUCUGCUCUGAAAACAAACAAACAAAAGGAAGCAGCAAACGCAUAGUUCACAGGAAUUUCUGCAGUAUUACUAUGUUUCAGCGGCUGGUGAGGAUGGAAUUUUUUCAUUGCUAUCGUGAAAAUAUACUGCUUGACAAGAAGAGAACUGCAUAUAUAGAUGCAGCUUCUUCUCUAGCAACUGUUAAUUUAAUAGACUACUACUUAUGGUGAAACAAAAAACAAUCCCACUCUGAAGAAAGCACUGAAGACCUAUAACCAGCGGUGAAUUUCUUCCGUAUUGCUCAGUGGAAACAAAAGAAAGCUCAAAUGGGUGAAAUGAAGAACCAAGGAUCAUCUGAGCAAAGACUCAAGGACCAUUUGAACAAAGACAUCCACAUCUAUACCACAGAUGACUUGGCAUCUAUGGAGGAGUGGAGGACAAGGCUGUUCUCUGAAGUUCCCUUACCCACCUAGAAACCAGAUCCCCAAAGAGGAACACUACGGCCUGCAAUUGCACCCUGCCAUCCACCAGCUCAAGACUGAGGAAUGCAACCAUACCCAGACAGACUUUUUCACAAGACAAUUUCUGCCUCUGGAGCGUGUUCAAAUUCUAAAGAGCAUCAUUUACAAGUAAAUUGCUGUCUCAGGGAAAUAUUCAUUUUCCCUGAAAAUCAUUUACUCCUACACCCCCAAUACCUUCUCACCAAUAAAUAAAGCAUUUAAGGAUCAACCAUCUGGCCAUUUUCUUGAGUUUUCAUAUUUUGUAUGACUCCCAUGCACACAUAUAAUAAAUUUGUUAGGUUUUUCUCUUAUUAAUCUAUCUUUUGUUUUAGGAGUGUUGGCAUGACCUUUUAUGAUCAUGGGGAAGGAAGGGAUCAACCCUCCACCGUCAAAGAGAAGAGAACCAGAGUCAUCAAGAUCGGAAUGUGGAUGGCACAAGCCAGGGCAAGAGGGUGAAGAUGUCACACAGGGUGGGAAGCUGGGCGUGAGGUUCUACAACAGAUAACAGUGGGCUAUAUUCAUGCUAGAGCAGGGUCUAUGCAAGGAGUAUGCCACUGGCAGGUGGGUGGUGAGAUGGAUUCUGGUGGAGAGAAAGUGAAAAUGGGUGCAAGAAAUUCAUUUUAGAACACGUUGAAAUCCUAGGGUCAGAUGUGGGUGAAAUAAAUGGAAAAGAAAGCAUUUAAGUAGAAAGGAAUUAGGAAAAUUUGGUCGUAGAUAUAGUUUGAAUGUUUGUUCCCUCCAAAUCUCAUGUUGAAAUGUGAUUCCCAUUGUUGGAGGUGGGGCCUGGUGGGAGGUGUUUGGGUCAUGGGGUGGAUCCCUUAUGAAGGGCUUGGUGCCCUCCCCACAGUAAAGAGUGAGUUCUCACUCUGUUAGUUAUCUACCAGGAGAUCUGGCGUCUCUCUUUCUCUUCUUGCCAUGAUACAACUGCUCCCCCUUCACCUUCUGCCAUGAAUAAAAGCUCCCUGAGGCCUCCUAGAAAAUGAUCAGAUCCUGGCCGGGCGUGGUGGUUCACACCUGUAAUCCCAGCACUUUGGGAAGCCAGGGUGGGGGGAUCACCUGAGGUCAGGAGUUCAAGAUCAGCCUGGCCAACAUGGCAAAACCCCAUCUUUACUAAAAAUACAAAAAUUAGCUGGGUGUGGUGGCGCACACCUGUAAUCCUAGCUACUUGGGAGGCUGACGCAGGAGAAUUGCUUGAACCCAGAAGUGGGAGGUUGCAGUGAGCCAAGAUGGCGCCACUGUACUCCAGCCUGGGUGACAGAAUGAGACUCCAUCUAAAAAAAAAAAAAAAAAGAUGAUGAUCAGAUGUUGGAACCAUGCUUGAACAGCCUGAAGAACCAUGAGCCGGAAAAAAAAAAGCUAACCCUCUUUUCUUUAUAAAUUACCCAGUCUUGGGUAUUCCUAUGGACUACAAUAGUCACUGAUGACAGAUUUCAAGAUUUUCGGCUUAGGCUAGUGCACAAACUGUAGAGUCCAGAAAGCAGGUUUGUUUUUCACACACCCUGAGUCUGAGACGAUGGGAGGCUUCCCCAGUGCCAGUGUCUGGCAGAAAUGAAAACACAUGGCAAAGGAGAAGAAAGCUCAGGGAAAAGGAUGGUCCAGACAGAACCUAUCUGUGUGGCUGUGAUGGAUAAAGCCAUAAAGGAGAUGAGUUCUCUGAGAACUCCCACCCCAUUUAGAAAGGAAAAGGGCAGGAACACUGCUCUAGAAAUCUAGAAGACAGUCCAGGUAGACAGGAAAGUUUCUCUAAGGCAGUGAAGCUUAAGCUGAUCUCGAAGGGUCUGCUGAAGGAAGAAGAAAGAGAUUCCAGGUUGGGACACAGCAGGGACAAACAACAAGACUUCAGUGGAUAGGCUGCUCCAUCCCUGUUGUCUCAGUAUUAGAAAACCGUAUUUUAACAUACUAAUGGUGGACAUUUGAUAAUCAGUUUGUUACAACUAUAUGGAACUGCCCCCUAAAUUCAAUCAUACUUUGCCUUUCACACUCUCAUUUUCAUAAUUAAAUAGUUUUACAAUGAAAAACAAGGUACACGGAGAAAAGCAAGGUUAUCAGGUUUCACCAAAACAUAGCAGUGGUCAAUUCUAGUCCAUUUCUGAGAUGACCUGGUCUCUGGCAUUUGCACAUUAAAAUUAUUUUUAGGCAAUGAAUGCCAGUAUUAGAGUCACCCAUUUUUAAGGUCAUAAUUGCUGCAUAUAAAAAGAUUUAGAGUUACAGACUGUCCCCAAACAGCAGGAGCCCUCGUGGCCUGCCUCUCCUGGAUCCGAGAGCCACAGUGUUCUCCUGCUUCUAUUUAGAGUAUCAUGAAUGCUAAAUAGAAAUGUUAAAAAUUAUUCCACAAAACGAAGCAAAGCAGACAUCAUCCCCCACAGACCCGCACUCUGAAGUGGUUCACCACUCUUUUGGCUUGCAAAUGCAUUCUUAGAAGUAGACUCCUUGUUUGUCAUCUGAACCCCCAAACAUCUUAAUUACAUAUUUGUAUAACACCCGGAUAGAGGGGGAAAGAAACCAAACCUCAAGUUUUUUUUUUUUUAAAGUAAUAGCAGCUUUCACUCUGGAAAAAAACAUCAGAGCAAUUCCAUCGCAGCAGUACUUUGGUUACUUAGCAUCAUGUCAUCUCAGACAUGUGUAACACGAAAGGUGUGAAGGGGAAAAGGACAUCAGAAACGGCUGCAGCAACAAGGAAUCUAGCAAAAAUAGUCUUCUGCCAUUCUACAUGCCAGAUGUGGUAAGAAGCUCUUUCAGCCGGACUUGGUAAAAUGCCUUGUUUGAAUCGAAGUCUGAAUUGGCGGUUAUUUUUAAAUUAAUAAAGUUUUUCUAUUUGGAAGGACUUCUAAUAACAUAGAGCAGUAUCCUAAGAAGCCCUUGGGGACUUUUUUAAUGAAUUAGAAUAAUGUGCAAUUAGACCGACAGUUGUAACUGAGUGCUUCGGAGGGCUUGAAAGUAGUUGUUCUCAAGUAGUUCACGUAGCAUCAAGUUCACAGAAAGGAUUCUAAGGCACUGAAUUGCUCGAUUUUACAAUGCACUGGGAUAUAAAUGAACAAAUGCACUCCACAGUACAUAUUAGGCAUUCCCUAGGCUUAAAAAACCCAAAAACUCCAAAAUAGGAAAAAAAAAAAAAAAAAAACCAUGCUCAGCAAAUAUAUUAGGAUAAAUAUGUAUCAGAAAAAUAUUCGUUUCAGGAUUCCUUUAAAUAGUAAGUCCGCCUCAUGUCUGUGUGUCUUCACAGAUCAUUAAUUUCUUGGCAAAGAAGUUGGGGUGCAGACACCCUGUGGCCACAGCACUGGAACUGAAGGUCAGUGGGAACGUGAUGAGAGGGGUUUUGAAAAGUCUGCGCUCCUCUGAAAACAUUCUGACUAUGCCUUUUCUCUCUCCACGGUUUCCCAAGGCCACUACUCUAUCUUCCUCUGUUUGAAUCCAAACAGAAGUACAAGGAGUCAGAUCCACAAAUGAGUCGUUUUAUCUUGCCCUACCUCUCUGUGCAGUCAAUGGCCAACCAUCCUAUGGAUGGACAGUCACAGGGGCCCAACCAAGGUGUCUUAUACGAGCAGGCAGAGGGCUUGCAGUGGCUUUUUGUAGGUUUUUGGCUGGAGCUGAACUAACUGCAAACUAAAAAAAAAGUUCCCAACAGCAGCCCUUCCUGAAGCUGACGGUCUGACUGUGGAAGUUUAGCCCGAGUAUUUAGGGUGCUGGGAAGACAUGAGAACUACCUUAUGUCCUUUGUUUUCUUCCUAAGCAAACUGGGCAGUCUUGUUCAUGCAAAACCACUAUGGAGUGAUCACUGUAACAGGCACGCUGGACCAGAGGGUGAAUGCCCCCAGCGGGAAUCUCUCCCUAAAGCCUUGCUUUUUCACAUCACGCCACCUCCCCUCUUCCAAAUUUUGGAGGCGUACUACCAAUAGGAACUCACUAUCUGACUGAUUAAUCAGCUUUCAGUAGACAGGAGCGGGACAGGUGUGGGAGAAAACAUUUCUUUCCAACUCCCAUUCUCCACUGCAGAAUACCACAAUAAGAAAUCUUAGGCCGGGCGCGGUGGCUCAUGCCUGUAAUCCCAGCACUUUGGGAGGCCGAGGCAGGUGGAUCAUGACGUCAGGAGUUUGAGACCAGCCUAACCAACAUGGUGAAACCCCAUCUCUACUAAAAAUACAAAAAUUAGCCGGGUGUGGUGGCGUGCGCAUGUAAUCCCAGCUACUCAGGAGGCUGAGGCAGGAGAAUCGCUUGAACCCGGAAGGCAGAGGUUGCAGUGAGCUGAGAUUGCGCCACUGCACUUCCGAUUGUUAACUAGCAGUUUAAAUGACCACAUUUAAUCAGCUAAGUGAGAGUUGGUUUAAAAGGCCAAUUACAAAAGAAGUGGUAAAUGGCCUUUUAAACCAAUUCAUAGUAUCUCCAAAUGCCUUGGUUUACCAAGUCUGAGGGUUUCCUAGAACUCUCCUUAUAAGCAUUAGAAUGAAAUCUAGUCCUGGCUCUUUUCCCAUGACCACUUCCUCUUUGGUUCAUUAAGAAUAUAAACAUUACUUAAAUAGAGCAAAGCUCCCUGAGCUAAGGGGUCUUCAUGGUAUACAUUCAAACGGCAUGUGAACGAGGUUACAGGGCAUAGUGCAGAAUCCCUCCUCGGAUUCCAAGGUGGCUAAAAAUGCCUAUGUCAGUGGAUUUGCCUGUUUUCCAAGUCAUUUGCUCUGAAACUCCUAAAUACAAAUAUGAAAACAACAGCAUGAGACUUCAUUGUCAUGUUUAUUUGUUAUUCAUUCUCUGAUUCGGAGUUGGGGGGCAGGGGAAGGAUUAGACACAAUUUUAAGCCAACCAGCCUCU